AGCAUUCAGUUACUUACGUAUGACAUUAGAUACACAGAACACAUUUCUUAAAUAUUUUGAUGACGGAAUGACACCGUCAGUAGCAAAAGCAUACCAUGAAAUGUUUAUUGAGUCGCAGUAUGAAGGUCCUAAUUUGUAUGUUCAUUUAUGCAAUGCUCAAGUUAAUCCACUGAAAAGCAAGUUAACUACCUGUUAACGAAAAAUGGAGAACUGUUAAUUUUGGAACUCGGGAAGUAAAAAGCAUUUUGGAUGUUCUACGACAAAAAGAGGAAUCCUUAAGUCAAGCAGGAAUAAAACUAAUAAUUAAAGAAAAUCCAUUAAUCAUAAUAGUUCUUACUCCUAUAAUGCUACGAGCACAUAGGCAAGACUAUUCACAUGACAUUGUCUUUAUCGACUUCAGUGGUUCGUGCGACCAAACUAAUAUUUCCAUAACAUUUUUAUUUGCUGCCUCUAAGAUAGGAGCUGUACCGUUAGCAUGUAUUUUACAUACUGAACAAAGUGAGGCUAAUUAUACAUUAGCAUUUAGUUUAUUGCGUGAGAAGUUCGGAAAUAAAGGAUUUGGUGGUUUUGGUUUUCCCAGUGUUAUUAUGAUGGACGAUUCUCUUGCAGAGAGAAACUUACUGAGGACCGUUUUUCCAGAAUCACAUUUAUUGCUUUGUAUAUUUCACGUAUUACAAGCCUUUUGGAGAUGGUUAUGGAGCAGCAACCAUGGAAUCUCAAAGGAUCAUAGAAAAAUAAUAAUGACACAAUUUCAACGACUGCUUUAUUCAGUAUGUGAAGAAGAUGCAGAGGAGAUUUAUAAUGAAACUUUAAGUAAUGAAAUAUAUUUGCUAUAUGAUAACCUUAUUAAAUACGUGUCAAAGGUAUGUGGGAACGCAAAAGAGAUUGGAUUCUAUGUUUCAGAAAUCAACUUCUAACAAAAGAACACAACACUAACAACUUUGCUGAGGCUUUUAUUAGAAUUUGUAAGGACAUCGUUUUACAACGUUGUAGAGCUUUCAACGCAUGUGCCCUUGUUGACUUCUUCGUAACAGUAUUUGAAUCAUAUCACAGGAGGCAUCUACUCACUUAUGCAAACAACAGAAAAAAUAAAUAUAUUAACAACCAAAUGCUUCAGCAAAGCAAAAACAUAUCAAUUUGUGAAGUUGCAAAGAACACAUACCGAGUUUCCCCUAGUACUGAUAAAACUAUGUUUUAUACUGCAUACACAGAUAUUUCAUUCUGUGAUUGCAUAUAUGGACAAGGCGGUCGAUUUUGUAAGCACCUUUGUGCUAUUCAGCAAAAGUUGGGCAUCGUAUUAAAAUCAGCACCCAAUCUCACCUUAAAUGACAGGAAGGACUUAGCUAAAUUGGUUCUGGGCGAAGAUACGUGUACAGAUUUUUUUUUUAACACGAUGGAUAACGAUGAAACGGGGCAAGAUUUCGAAACUGACACUCCUCAACAAAUAUUGGAAAAUUUGGAAUCGGAAAAUUCUAUAGAUAUACCCAUCAACGGCGUUUCCCCUGAUACUAACAAGAAUUUAAGUAAUAAUGACCACUUGGUUGCAGUAGCUGAUCUCUCACAAGAGUUUCAGAAGAUAACUAAUAUUGCUGCAAAUAGUAAUUCAGUGGAUAUGACAAACACCGUCCUUAAACUUACAAGAGUAUUAAAACGAAGACGAUAGAGACGCCUUCUAAUGAGUUUCUUUCAUUCGUUACCAAUUUAUAUUUCUGGGAAUAGGUGUUCAGCCAACAUCUAUUUCCAGAAGAAAAAAUCGGCCUGGACUGACAUCGGGAGCAAAAAGGAUACAGGCAGGUAGACCUUGAAAAUGCGAGAGCGUUGUUGUAAGGAAAAGAAAGAGGAAUUUGCUGGAAAAUAUAAAAUUUAAAUAAGCCGAACGCUAGGCCUCAUUAGUUUUCACUCCGCUAACGAGACUUCUAGCAGUAAUAUCUCAAAAAAUCCUAAUAAUAAUCUUUUUUUUAAUUUAGUGUUUUGUAUCUUUUGUUUUUUGUACUUUGAUGCGCGUUACUUCAAUAAUAAAUAAUGUACCUAGGUAUUGA